rnacentral:rRNA from 1 species
GAUUAACGCUGGCGGCGUGCCUAACACAUGCAAGUCGAACGAGGUAGCAAUACCUAGUGGCAGACGGGUGAGUAACGCGUGGUCAACCUACCGUUGAGUGGGGGAUAACUAGCCGAAAGGUUAGCUAAUACCGCAUACGUCUCCGAGUGGCAUCACUUGGACGAUAAAAGGAGCAAUCCGCUCGAUGACGGGACCGCGUCCCAUUAGCUAGACGGUGGGGUAACGGCCUACCAUGGCACCGAUGGGUAGCUGGUUCGAGAGAGCGACCAGCCACACUGGGACUGAGAAACGGCCCAGACUCCUACGGGAGGCAGCAGUGAGGAAUUUUCCGCAAUGGGCGCAAGCCUGACGGAGCGACGCCGC